CUCUCUCCACCAGCUCCCCUCUCUCUCUCUCUCUCUCUCUCUCUCAUUCCCCCUCCCCGGAGCGCUCGCGCGGACCCACGAGGAGGAGGAAGAGGAGAAGAGGGGGAGAGGGAGGGAGGCAGGGAGCCCUAGCCCUGCCCUGCGCGCCGGCGUCGCCAGGGUUAGGGUCUCCCCCGCGUUCCGUUCCUUGCGCCACCCCUUCGCCGGCUCCCCGCUCUGGCCGAUCCCGCCCGCCCAACCGCCCAGCGGCGCGCGCGCCGACCCGGACCCGGACCCCGCGGCGCGGCGCCGCGCCGGUCAAUGCCGCGUGCCUGACCCUCGGUUUGGGGAUACCUUCCGUUCCUAGCUGCCCUCCCGGUGCGGCCUGACGCAGGAGCUUCGCGGCGAGAUCCGGCUCCCGGCGAGAUGCAGCACGAUCAGCGCAAGAAGAGUUCUGCGGAGGCUGAUUUUUUCACAGAGUAUGGGGACGCGAGUCGAUACAAGAUUCAAGAAGUCAUUGGUAAGGGAAGCUACGGGGUAGUAUGCUCCGCAAUAGAUGUGCACACAGGAGAGAAAGUAGCGAUCAAGAAGAUACAUGACAUCUUUGAGCACAUAUCUGAUGCUGCUCGGAUUCUUCGCGAGAUCAAGCUUCUGAGACUCCUAAGACAUCCGGACAUUGUUGAGAUCAAACAUAUUAUGUUGCCUCCAUCAAGAAGGGACUUCAAAGAUAUUUAUGUUGUUUUCGAACUUAUGGAGUCUGAUCUUCACCAAGUUAUCAAGGCUAAUGAUGACUUGACAAAGGAACAUUAUCAGUUCUUUCUCUACCAAUUGCUCCGUGCUCUGAAAUACAUUCACACAGCUAAUGUUUAUCAUCGGGACUUGAAGCCAAAGAAUAUAUUAGCAAAUUCUAACUGCAAACUGAAAAUUUGUGAUUUUGGACUAGCACGAGUCGCAUUUAAUGAUACCCCAACAACGAUCUUCUGGACGGAUUAUGUUGCAACGAGAUGGUACAGAGCUCCAGAGCUCUGUGGAUCCUUCUACUCAAAGUAUACGACAGCCAUUGACGUUUGGAGCAUUGGUUGCAUCUUUGCUGAGGUGUUAACAGGAAAGCCUUUGUUUCCUGGUAAAAAUGUUGUCCACCAGCUAGACCUUAUGACUGAUCUUCUAGGCACGCCAUCCAUGGAUACAAUUUCUCGGGUCCGGAAUGAGAAAGCAAGGAAGUAUCUAAGCAGCAUGAGAAAGAAAGAUCCAAUCCCAUUCUCGCAGAAGUUUCCCAAUGCAGAUCCUUUAGCAUUGGAUCUUUUGCAAAGGCUUUUAGCAUUUGAUCCAAAAGAUCGUCCAACUGCAGAACAGGCACUGGCUCAUCCAUACUUUAAAGGGCUAGCCAAGGUUGAGCGAGAACCAUCCUGUCAACCAAUCACAAAGAUGGAGUUUGAGUUUGAGCGUAGAAGAGUGACAAAAGAAGACAUAAGGGAGCUGAUAUUCCGUGAGAUAUUGGAAUAUCACCCACAAUUACUCAAAUACUACAUCAACGGCACAGAGAGGACAACCUUUCUGUAUCCGAGUGCUGUCGACCAAUUCAGGAAGCAAUUUGCUCAUCUUGAAGAAAAUAGUGGAAGUGGCCCCGUGAUUCCAAUGGAAAGAAAACAUACUUCUCUUCCUAGGUCUACUAUUGUUCACUCUGCUCCAAUUCCCGUCAAGGAACAACCUCGUAUCGGCACAUCUAGGGAAAAACAUUCAUCUGAUGAGUCUUACAAAUAUCUUCGGGAAACAGAAAAAUAUUCUGGUAAUGUUCCUAGAACUUCACAGGCUCCACAAAGAGUGCCAACAGCGAGACCAGGAAGGGUUGUUGGUCCAGUAAUGCCUUACGAGAAUGGUAACACCAAGGAUCCAUAUGACGCACGAAGGUUGGCAAUGAACUCAGGAUACCCUCCGCAACAACAUAUCCCACAAACAUACGGUUAUUAUCAGACACCUGGCAAGCCGGCUUGUUCUGAGCCGUUGCAGGCUGAAAGGUACACACUGCAUCAGCAGGCCUACAGCACAACUGUGUCUGAUGUUGCUCUGGACAUGAGAGCACCCCCUUUUCACCAUCCAUCGGCAGGGACGAAAAGUGACUCUUCUGAUAGGCUAACAGCAGAUACGAACUUGUACUCGAGAUCGCUCAAUGGAAUCGCUGCUACUGCUGCUGGAGUGGCAGCAAGUGCUCACAGAAAGGUUGGCGUUGUUCCGUUCUUCCGUUCGGCAUGUCAAGGAUGUAUUAGUGGCUGAAUCAUGGCGAGUCCUACAUGCCUUGAUGGAUCUCUGCUGGCCUAUGGUGGCACAACAGAGAAUGAAGCGGCAAGCAAACCUUGGCUGGGUGCCAUGAGGCUUAGAGUGCAGAGCGAUCCAAGGUUGACUGAUCUGUAUGGUCAGGAAACACCAUCGGCGGCAUCGAAGCGUAUCAAAAUUUCUGUUUAGGCCAUCAACUUGUAUCUGCCUGGCUUGAGUAGUGUGCCCUUUGGGUGCACACAGAAGAAGUGGAGGGGGGUAGUCCAGCGGCUUGUAAUCUGGGCAAUUUAGGCGCCAAUUUCUUUUCUAGAGCGAGGAGAAAAGAAGGGAAAGAAAGGAACACUAACGUUUUUAUAUGUUGUAUAGAGAUGUUUCUCAUAUAUCAAUGUGCUACAUCAGAAUGACUUAAGAAAGAUAGAUAUAGCGAAAAUUUGCUUGGUUUA